UACGGAGGGGGCUAGCGUUGUUCGGAAUUACUGGGCGUAAAGCGUGCGUAGACGGUCAUGUAAGUCGGAUGUGAAAGCCCCGGGCUCAACCUGGGAAUUGCAUUCGAGACUGCAUGGCUUGGGUGCGGAAGAGGGAAGCGGAAUUUCCGGUGUAGCGGUGAAAUGCGUAGAUAUCGGAAGGAACACCAGUGGCGAAAGCGGCUUCCUGGUCCGACACCGACGUUCAGGCACGAAAGCGUGGGGAGCAAACAGG
rnacentral:rRNA from 1 species